rnacentral:rRNA from 1 species
UGAGCAAUCUGCCCUUCUCUUCGGAAUAAGCGUGGGAAACCGCGUCUAAUGCCGAAUACGACCUCCUUUCACAUGAUCGGAGGUGGAAAGCUCCGGCGGAGAAGGAUGAGCUCGCGGCCUAUCAGCUAGUUGGUGUGGGUAACGCCCACAAGGCAACGACGGGUAGCCGGCCUGAGAGGGUGACCGGCCACACUGGGACUGAGACACGGCCCAGACUCCGUACGGGAGCAGCAGG